UUUAGGGGGAAAGGGUGAGGAGAGUUGGUCUGGAGGAGAGAGAAGGACCUGGUCCCCGAUGUUAACUGGAGAUGGACAAGGACUGGUACAUGGUCGAGCCUCUCAGGUGGACUCCCAAGUCUGGGACACCCAGAACCCUUCUGUGGCCAAUACAGAGGGUAUUAGCAAGAAAGAGCAGCGGUGUGCUACUGGCCUACAAGCAGUUUCGCUGGGAAGCAGGGCCAACGAAGGAGGUGCUGGGCCAAGCAGCAGCAGAGCCUGAGACAAGCCCUUCAGCAAAUCCAUGUGUACUCCACCCAGAAAAGUCCAGGAGGCUGGAGUCCACUGGGAUCUGGAAGGCAUACCAUGCAGACAGGAGCAAGAAGAUUAUUGAUGACAUCUCCCCUCUGCACAGGAGACCGAGAG